GCCUCAGUAGUCUAAAGGCUUAGAACGCUUGCACGGAAUACAAGAAAUCCGGAUUCGAUUCCUGGCUGAGGUA
rfam:Acromyrmex echinatior unplaced genomic scaffold C1842968, whole genome shotgun sequence.